CCUUGGGUGGUGCAAAUAGUUAACACACUUGGCUGCUAACCAAAAGGUUAGCAGUUCAAGUCCACCCAGGGA
rnacentral:tRNA from 1 species